rnacentral:misc_RNA from 1 species
GAGUUUUCCACAUGUUCUUGUUUAUGAUUGAUAGGCUAAGUACUGUUCACUGCUAUCCUACUUGGGUAGGAAUAAUAAGUAGAUGCAUGAGAAUUGCACUAACUAUAGCAGAACCUAAAAUGGUCGCACCUUAACUUUAGAGGGGCGUAUUUUUCUACUUACGCUGCAAAGAUGGACUGUUAAUAAGGCCCUUAAACCACAAUGUAGUCAG